rnacentral:rRNA from 1 species
GACGAACGCUGGCGGCGUGCUUAACACAUGCAAGUCGAGCGGGGAUUGAUGAAGUGCUUGCACAGAUUCAAUUCUAGCGGCGGACGGGUGAGUAACGCGUGAACAAUCUGUCCCAGACAGGGGGAUAACACUUGGAAACAGGUGCUAAUACCGCAUAAGACCACGAGGAGACAUCUUCUUGGGGUAAAAGAUUUAUCGGUUUGGGGUGAGUUCGCGUCCGAUUAGCUAGUUGGUGAGGUAACGGCCCACCAAGGCGACGAUCGGUAGCCGACCUGAGAGGGUGAUCGGCCACAUUGGAACUGAGACACGGUCCAA